rnacentral:rRNA from 1 species
CUACGGAGGGUGCAAGCGUUAAUCGGAAUUACUGGGCGUAAGGCGUACGUAGGCGGUUAUUUAAGUCAGAUGUGAAGGCCCCGGGCUUAACUUGGGAACUGCAUUUGAAACUGGGUAACUAGAGUUUAGUAGAGGGGAGUGGAAUUUCAGGUGUAGCGGUGAAAUGCGUAGAGAUCUGAAGGAACACCAGUGGCGAAGGCGACUCCCUGGACUAGAACUGACGCUGAGGUACGAAAGCGUGGGUAGCAAACAGGAUUAGAAACCCCAGUAGUCC